AUGGCGAAAGUCUGGAAACUUCCUAAUCUACAAAUGAUAGUCAACUGUGGGAAGGAAUGGCUGUUGCAGGUCUUAGGCCCUCGGUCUGAGUUGGAGAGAUGUAUGAUUCUAAUGAUUUUUUGGAGAAGCUGGUUCGUAUGCAAUGAAGUGGUCCACCACAAACCAACCCCGCCAAUGGAAGUGUCUGUCAGAUUCCUGCGGAGCUAUUUGGAGUCACUGAUGGCGAUUAAACAUGAUAACGGUGCUGAUCCUGUUAAAGGUAAAGCAUAUGUUAACAUGGACACGGGAGGGCAGCCGGUUAUGCAAGUGACUAAGUCACCUGGUUGGAUCAAACCCAGACAAGGCUGGACUAAAUUGAAUACUGAUGGUGCGUUUGGUUCGAAUGAAGAUGCUGGUGCGGAGCUUUAUAUUCUUGUAGGGAUGCAUUGGAGGCCGAGCUUUGUGCCUGCAUGGAGGGGUUAUCUUCUUCGAUUCAACGCACAGAUCAGCCGAUCGAAAUCGAGAUGGAUUCCUCGGCUGCGGUGUCCAUGA
rnacentral:rRNA from 1 species